ensembl:piRNA 21ur-4033 ncRNA
UGAUCAUAACGUUUUGAUUUC